rnacentral:rRNA from 1 species
GAUGAACGCUGGCGGCGUGCUUAACACAUGCAAGUCGAACGGAAAGACCCAAGCUUGCUUGGGUACUCGAGUGGCGAACGGGUGAGUAACACGUGGGUGAUCUGCCCUGCACUUCGGGAUAAGCCUGGGAAACUGGGUCUAAUACCGGAUAGGACCACAUUUUGGAUGGUGUGGUGGAAAGUUUUUCGGUGUGGGAUGAGCUCGCGGCCUAUCAGCUUGUUGGUGGGGUAAUGGCCUACCAAGGCGUCGACGGGUAGCCGGCCUGAGAGGGUGUACGGCCACAUUGGGACUGAGAUACGGCCCAGACUCCUACGGGAGGCAGCAGUGGGGAAUAUUGCACAAUGGGCGCAAGCCUGAUGCAGCGACGCCGCGUGGGGGAUGACGGCCUUCGGGUUGUAAACUCCUUUCGCUAGGGACGAAGCGUUAUGUGACGGUACCUGGAGAAGAAGCACCGGCUAACUACGU